rnacentral:rRNA from 1 species
AUGAACGCUGGCGGCGUGCCUAAUGCAUGCAAGUCGCACGCAGCGUGGCUUGCCACGCUGAGUGGCGCACGGCUGAGGAACACGUAGGAACCUGCCCAUCCGUGGGGGACAACACGACGAAAGUCGUGCUAAUCCCGCAUAUGCUCACGGCAACGUGAGGAAAGCAGCAAUGCGCGGGCGGAGGGGCCUGCGGCCCAUCAGGUUGUUGGCGGGGGUAACGGCCCACCAAGCCUUUGACGGGUAGCUGGUCUGUGAGGAUGACCAGCCAGACUGGGACUGAGAUACGGCCCAGACUCCUACGGGAGGCAGCAGCAAGGAAUUUUCGGCAAUGGGGGCAACCCUGACCGAGCAACGCCGCGUGCAGGAUGACGGCCUUCGGGUUGUAAACUGCUUUUGCGAGGGAUGAUACAGACAGUACCUCGCGAAUAAGGCUCGGCUAACUCUGUGCCAGCAGCCGCGGUAAGACAGAGGAGCCAAGCGUUGUCCGGAUUGACUGGGCGUAAAGCGCACGCAGGUGGUUGCGGGCGUCGGUGCUGAAAGUUCGCCGCUUAACGGCGAAUCGUGUGCCGAUACGCCGCAACUCGAGCCCGUGAGAGGUCCGUGGAAUUGCCGGUGUAGUGGUGAAAUGCGUAGAGAUCGGCAGGAACACCCAAGGGGAAGCCAGCGGACUGGCACGAUGCUGACACUGAGGUGCGAAAGCGUGGGGAGCGAACCGGAUUAGAUACCCGGGUAGUCCACGCCGUAAACGAUGAAUACUCGCCCUAUGAUGGUGUUAAAGCCGUUGUGGGGUCAAGCUAACGCGAUAAGUAUUCCGCCUGGGAACUACGAGCGCAAGCUUAAAACUCAAAGGAAUUGACGGGGGCCCGCACAAGCAGCGGAGCGUGUGGUUUAAUUCGACGCAACGCGCAGAACCUUACCCAGGUUUGACAUGCAGCUGCAAGCUUCUCAAAGGAAGCUGCCUUCGAGGGUGCUGCACAGGUGCUGCAUGGCUGUCGUCAGCUCGUGUCGUGAGAUGUUGGGUUAAGUCCCGCAACGAGCGCAACCCCUACGGUCAGUUAUACGUGUCUGGCCGGACUGCCCUUCGGGGAGGAAGGCGGGGAUGACGUCAAGUCCGCAUGGCCCUUACACCUGGGGCGACACACACGCUACAAUGCCGCCGAUAAUGCGCAGCGACCCGGCAACGGCAAGCGAAUCGGCAAACGGCGGCCUAGUGCAGAUUGGGGGCUGCAACUCGCCCCCAUGAAGACGGAGUUGCUAGUAACCGCGCAUCAGCAAUGGUGCGGUGAAUACGUACCCGGGCCUUGUACACACCGCCCGUCACGUCAUGGGAGUUGGCAAUGUUUGAAGUCCGUGGGCUGACCCGCAAGGGAGGCAGCGGCCGAGGACAGGGCCAGCGACUGGGACG